CGAAAAUAACGCAAGUUUUUGCCACCACUAGGCCCCUAUGCGCAUCCCUAACAAAUGUGGUGUGAUGCAAAUUAAAAACCAAUCAGCAAAUGGAAUGUUCAGUUGGCGAAAAACUUUCAUCUGCAACCGACGGAAGAAACCGCACAGCAGCGCAAUUUGUAUUGCAGCAUGUGCAGACGUGCCACGUGCCAGCUACGAAAUUUCGGGCCUGACAAGGCCAAUGGAUGGAACUGGCGACGGAGUGGCAGCGGAAAAAGCGAAAGUGCAGCUGUCCCCGCGGCACGCCAGAUCCUAUCCGAUCCCGGCGGGGUCUGAAUUUGUAUUUGGUUGGGAAAACACGUAGCUUGUCGCCGCGGGUGGCAAAAGCCAAACGGAAAGCAGAGUGAAAAUGAAAAUGGCAUUGCAAAAGGAAGAGGAAAAGGAAAAGAAGCUGUGGUUUAAUGUCCGGGGUCCAGCGGUGAGGCGGGGAUAGGGUGCCGAGUUACCGUGCAACAAAUGUACGUUUAAGGCCAUUUUCAUCCAUUUUAAUUGCAGCUGUGGCAGCAGGAUUGUCUGCGGUUCUGGCCACCGAAAGUGCCGCACAAACAAGGAGCUCAGAGCCGUGCGGCGGCGCCCGUGGUCGGUGCCUGCUGCGGUUUUCGGAGGAACUUUGCCAGCGGCAAGCCAGAGUCGUGUGUGUGUGGGGAGUGGAUCCCUAAAAGCCUGCCAGUUAACUAUAUUUAAGAUAAAAGUGCCACACCCUAUUAGCGGACACAUUCCGCACUUGUUGCAAGGUCCAGGGCCAGCAAUCCGUUGCACAUUGCAUUCAUAUCCGAUUCAUAUGUCUUCCCCCGAGAUCUGGAUGUCUCUGGCGCGGCUUAACCCUCGCUGAUGCGUUUUUAAUUGCUCGGUUUUUUUAAUUAAAGUGUGAGGCGAAAAAGUCAGGGGCAACCCACCAACGACCAACGACCACUGGCCUUGCCCCUUCUCCUUCUCCUUCUCCUUUGGCAAUAAUUAAACUUUAUCUUCGGGUCAGCUCCUAAUUGAGUUGCAUAAAUUAUGUAAUGGUGAAGAGGGGAAAACAACUGGCAACCGGCAACUGGCGGAUGAUGCAACCGCCGCCCCUCCCCACUUGGCUAAGUGGCUUCCACCUUAAUUGAAUUCAAGAGGAGAGGCCAUCUAAUCAGAUAUUCGCUAUUGCCAGUCAUAAAUUCAUAUCAGCCAGCCCACAGUAUUGCCAGGAGUCCAAGGCAGGCCGAAGUCGGCUUUUAACUUUUCGGUCGAUUCGAUUCGAUGUGGAAAACUUUUUGGCUUGGCUGGCACGUUCGUCCCAUGAUUAAUUAUCCCGCCCCAUAUGCUGCAGUGAGUGUCAUCUGGGGCU